UUAAAUUUUUAGAUCUAAAUUAAAUAAAUAAAAAUUAAGAAUAAUCGACCAAUCAAAUUAUAACAAUUAAAUUGAAACUUCACCUAUGAACGACAUGUCAUCAGAAAUCAUUAAAGUGACUUCUCUUUUAAUAUAUAGGGGGAUUACAUGUUUUCUUGACAUUGUAUUAAAUUUUCUCUAGAUUUAUAUGUUUAAUGUGAAUAAAUGAUUUAUGCCUAAUCAUGAUUACAAAUGUUAUAUAGUGAGAAGAGGGUGUAUUGAUUUUUCUAAUAAACAUAGUGAUAUGAACUAAAAAACCACUUAACUAUAUCAAAAUUAAAUUCAUGAAAAUAGAACUGUGAAGUUUCUGUGAUGGUGGACACAUCAGUACAUGUUCUUCGAGACCAACUAAACGAUGUUACUCUUUCAUAGAGACAACCAGGUAAUAAACCAGUUGAAACAGAGAAAAGUUCCUAACUCUUGGAGUAAGUACAAACAUUCGGGAAUGGAGUACAUGGAGUGAUAAGGAGACAAGCGGGGCGAUCCCCGAAUCUAAUCUCAUUUUCCCCAUUUGUUAACAAAUAAGAGUCAUAUAUUUUUAAAUAAAAAGUCUAAAAUACCUUUUUAUAUAAAAAAAAGUCUAAAAUAUCUUUUUCGAGAUAAAUUACAAAAAAAUUACUUAUAAUACUAUUUUAAAAGCAUCGGUAUUGAUAGGGUCCCAACUCCAAGGGUAUUACAGAAAAAAUCUAUAUAUAUAAAAAAUUGUUGGUCUCACUCCUGCUUUGCCACGUGGAAAGUCGAUGCCUGACAGACCGACACGUGUCCUUCUUAACCAAAACGCAUCACUUCAUUUAUUUGAAAAUCUGAUGGGCUUUUUAAUCGCUAAGCGUGAGUUUAAUGUUAUUGGGCCCAUUAUGGUUAACCUAAUUCUAACGCCGCGAAGAAAUGUGUAUUUGUCUCUCUCUUACGGUGAUGGUGAUGCCUGAGUUUCUUCCCAGUUUUUGAAAAGGUGUGAGUUUUGGUUUUUCGUGUUUAAUCUCAUUAAUUCAACCGUCUACGAUGAGGUCUUCAAUGCUUGGUUUACAUCGGCGAGGCGGUGUGUUCUCUGGUAUAAAUAUAUAGUACUCCGAGAAGUUCGUUAAAGGACAAUGGGAUAAGAAAGACUGUGUUCUUGAGUUGAACAAUACAUAGACAGUUUCUCGGAACUUCUCACUCGCAUUUUGGAGGUUAAUAGUGAGCUGAAUCCAACUAGGUUGUUGGCAAUGUUGAAUUGAGAGAAGAGAGUAUCUCCUUGAGUUACGUUUAGUGCGUCAAAUUUGUCUGAAGCUCUCAUACACUGCAUUACAUGGGUAAGUACAAUGAAUCUACAGUUAACGCCGUGAUGGUAAAUCUGCAAUAAGUGAUGUCACAUGGUAAAAGAUGAGUCUGUCUUCGUACUGCAGCUCGAGCGGGGAAUCUGGAAAAAGGUUAUGUUAUUGAUUCGAUGUUGUAUAGGAGUCAUCGAGAAGUAACACCUUAUUAUCAUAUGCUUCCUAUCUGAUCCUAUCCUAUAUUGUUUCCAAGCUCUAUUCAUUUAUCACUAUUUGACUAUCCUUCCUUUAUUUACUUUCUCAUAUAUCUGUUCAUUGGGACGAACACAAUCAUUUAUGCAACAUUUGUAGCUUCUGAAUGUGUUGAAAGAGGUACUCCUGUCAACAACAGCAGAUGUACUCAUGUCAUGGUGAAAGGUGUGCACUCUGCGAAGACGCCACACAUUAGUUAAGGUUAUUGGAGUCCAUUAGACUGUUGCUGAGUCCAAUAGCUUCUUUUUAUAAUUUCCUGAAAUAAAAAGUGGAACUUGAGCGAUUUUGCUAUCCUC